ACCCGGAGAAAUCCGGCCUAAUACCGCGUAACACCUUUUGGGAGCAUUCCCGGGAGGUUAAAGGAGAGAUCCGGCAUAGGAUGGACAUGCGUCGCAUUAGGUAGACGGCGGGGUAACGGCCCACCGUGCCGACGAUGCGUAGGGGUUCUGAGAGGAAGGCCCCCCACACUGGUACUGAGACACGGACCAGACUCCUACGGGAGGCAGCAG
rnacentral:rRNA from 1 species